rnacentral:snRNA from 1 species
AGAUGUGAGAGGCAUCUGUCUGUGACGUGUCACCUCAUUGAUCACCAGGGUUGAUUUGGAUGACCUGGUUGACUCGAUGAGUUUCCCGUCCUCACUCACAGCUCCAUGCCUGUCCUUGUUACAAUAAAUCUCCAAGCGCAAUAAGCCCA